UCCUACGAAUGAACCAAAGUAUUUAUUGCUAGAAAGAUGGUCUCGCGUCUGAUUAGAUAGUUGGUGGGGGUAACGGCCUACCAAGUCAACGAUCAGUAGCCGGUCUGAGAGGAUGAACGGCCACAUUGGGACUGAGAUACGGCCCAGACUCCUACGGGGAGGCAGCAGGUGGGGAAUAGUUGGGCAAUGGGGGAAACCCUGACCCAGCAACGCCGCGUGAAGGAAGAAGGCCCUCGGGUUGUAAACUUCUUUUAGCAGGGACGAAGAACGUGACGGUACCUGCAGAAAAAGCAACGGCUAACUACGUG
rnacentral:rRNA from 1 species